GGGGAUGUAGCUCAUUUGGCAGAGCGCGUCAUUUGCAUUGUCGAGGUACAGGGUUCAAUUCCCUGCAUCUCCA
rnacentral:tRNA from 4 species